UGUGACCUCAAAUCAGGUAGGACUACCCGCUGA
rnacentral:rRNA from 3 species